AGAGAGGAAGAGCAAAUGGAUACUGAGGGACUGUCUGCUGUAUGCAUCACCAUGCAGGUGCAUGUGUGUGCCUUGUGUGCACACGUGUCUGUCUGUGCAUGUACAAGUGCUAUGGACGUGUUUGCAUGUAUGUGUGUUUGUGCUUGUGCGAAUGUGUGUGUAUGCAUGUGUACACGCUUGUGGGCAUGUGUGUGAUGGGGGGGGCAUUUGGAGGAGUAGCAGACAUCAAGACCAGAGAGAAGGAGGCAUUAUCAAAAAGACCAUCACAUGGAGUUCCCGGCGUGGCACAGAGGAAACGAAUCCGAUUGGGAACCAUGAAGUUGCAGGUUUGGUCCCUGGCCUCGAUUAGCAAAACAGGUUUAUCUGGGAGCAGCAAAGAAUUGGAACUGUGGAAGACCACAUCCAAGUCCAGUAAAGGAGAGGAAACCUUAUAUAGAGAAGGGGAAGUCGGAAGGGGCUGUUAUAAACAAAAGGUCUAUUGGAGAAAGCUGGGAUUUUGAAGUAUAGCGGCUUUUCAUUGGCUGAGCUGUGACAAGCUCUCACUGGUUAAGCUGUUGCCAGUGGAGGAGAAAAUCUUUCUUCCUCCUGCUGAAGGCUGUAUAAGUAGUUCACUUUCUGCUGGAGAUGCAAGGUAUGUCUCUUCCCAUGGGUUUGUGGUUUUGGUUGGGUUUGGGGUUUUGUUUGGGGUUUUUGGUUUUUGUGUUUGUUUCUUCCUGCUGGGAUCUGUAUUAAUGCCUAGUGGACUUUCAUAGAGUUCCCCCUUCUGGCCUCUGGCUCCACCUUAGGGAGGUUUUCCUUCAUUAAUUUUUCACUCUUUAAAUCUAAACCCAUGAUUUUAUAAUAUAGGAGGCAGGAUAGCAGAGAGGGUGGGCUUAGAUGUCACCCAGACCUGUGUCCAAAUCCUAGGCCGAGCCCUUUAUCAGCUGUGUGUCUUGGGUGAGUUACAAACCUCUCCUCGCCUUGGUUUUCUCACACAUAAAACGAGGCCAUGAAUAUUUCUUCCUUGUGGAAAAGGAGGGAGAUAAGUGGAAUACUAUUCAGCCAUUAAAAAGAAUGAAAUAAUGCCGCUCACAGCAACAUGGAUGCAACUAGAGAUUCUCAUACUAAGGAAAGUAAGUCAGAAAGAUAAAUACCUUAUGAUACCGCUUAUAUGUGCAAUCUAAAAUACAGCACAGGGAGUUCCCGUAGUGGUGCAGCAGAAACAAAUCCAACUAGGAACCAUGAGGUUACAGGUUCAAUCCCUGGCCUCAAUCAGUGGAUUAAGGAUCCGGCGUUGCCGAGAGCUGUGGUGUAGGUCACAGACACGGCUCAGAUCUGUGGCGUAGGCCGGCAGCCAUAGCUCUGAUUUGACCCCUAGCCUGGGAACCUCCAUAUGCCACGGGUGUGGCCCUAAAAAUAAAAAUAAAUAAACAAAUAAAUAAAUAAAAAUAAGAUAUGGCACAAAUGAACCUAUCUACAAAACAGAAACAGACUCACAGACGUAGAGCACAGACUCGUGGUUGCCAAAGUGGAGGGAAGGGGGAGGGGGACGGACUGGGAGUUCAGGGUUAGUGAAUGCAAACUAUUACAUUUAGAAUGGAUACGCAAUGAGGUCCUGCUGUAUAGCACAGGGAACUGUAUCCAAUCUCUUGGGAUAGAUCAUAAUGGAAGAUAAUAUAAAAAGGGAAUGUAUAUGUAUGUAUGAGUGGGUCACUUUGCCAUAUAGCAGAAAUCAGCAUGUCGUGAAUUGACUAUAAUAUAAAAUAAAGUGGAGGAGUUCCCAUCGUGGUUCAGUGGUUAACGAAUCCCACUAGGAACCAUGAGGUUGCAGGUUCGAUCCCUGGCCUUGCUCAGUGGGUUAAGGAUCCGGCAUUGCCGUGAGCUGUGGUGUAGGUCACAGACAUGGCUCGGAUCUGGCAUUCCUGUGGCUCUGGCCUAGGCCAGCCGCUACAGCUCCGAUUUGACCCCUAGCCUGGUAACCUCCAUAUGCCGCAGGAGCAGCCCUAGAAAAGACAAAAAGACCAAAAAUAAAUAAAUAAAUAAAAUAAAGUGAAGGUGGUCGGGCGGACUGUGUUCCCUCUACCAGGGCAAAGGUUAGUUGAUUGACUGACUGACCAUCUGAAUGAAUAUUGGUUGAUUCUGGAGCAGCUGUGAGAAAGCAAAGGGGAUGGAGAGUUGAUAGCAGUGGUUGAGGGAGCCCUGGGCUUGGGUUGAGAGACUUGGGUUCAGGUACUGAAUGUAAAACCGUACACCUCAGUUUGGAACUUGAACUCACGUGCUGGGACUCUAACCCAGCUAAGACUCAGAUCGGUACUUGAACCCAUGGGCCAGGACUCAAACCCGGCCAAAUCCCAGACUGGGACUUGAACUCAUUGGUUUUUUUUUGUUUGUUUGUUUUUAAUUAAAUUCACACACCUAGUCCCGGGGACGUACUGAAGUGCCGUGGAUGUCUCAGCACAGAAAGAAUUCAGUGAGCGGCAAAGUGAUAGGGAAGAAGCAGCUUUACGGAGAGACAGAGUGUGGGCCAUCUCAAAGGCAAGAGGCCCUGAAAUGCAGGGUAGUGAGUUUUUCUGGGCUGGCAAUUUCAUAGGCUGAUGAGUGGGAGGAUUAUUUCAACUAUUUCUGGGAAGAGGAGGGGGUUUCCAGGAAUUGGGCCACCACUCACUUUUUGGCCUUCUGUCUCAGAACUGUCACGGUGCCUGUGGAUGCUGUGUCAUUCAGUAUAUGCCAGGGUAUUACAAUGAGCAUAUAACGAAACUCCAGGUCCACUGAAAGUCAAAUCAUAAACCACCUUGGACCUAGUUGGUUGUAAACAGUUCUUACCAUAUCCUGAAGGACUCUGUCAUUCUUUCAAGGUUUGUGCCCUGCCUCCUUCCCUCCCGUUUCAAAUGUGCAGGGUGAGAGCAAGGGGCUGAUGGGGGAAGAGCACAGGGAGAGUGACCAGGGCAGAGGCCCACAUGGUUCUGCAGUGAGAGGACAGGACCACCCAGGAGCUGGAGCUCCUUGGUGAGGGGUCAAGUGCCAGAGGUGGGGAGGUCCAGGCUAUGGAGUUCAGAGGUCACCAACUGGAAACCUGAGUGCAUGUCUGGUUUGGCCACUGCUGAGUCCAACUUCAGCCGCUCUAGUAGCUGCUGAGGUGUGGGUUCAAUCCCCAGCCUGGGUGGUAGGUUGCAGGUGUGGCUCCGAUUCAAUUGGAUUCAGUCCCUGGCCCAGGAACUUUUAUAUGCCAUGAAAAUGAUAAUUAACAAGAGUAGGUUCUCGUCCUCCUUGACCUUAGGGGGAGUCAGACAAUGCAGUGAUCAUCACAGAGAGGGUUACACCAUCCCACACAGCAAUAAAGGCUGUUCGGAGAAAUACAGUUUCUAAGAAAACUAAGAGAAUGGGGGGGCUAAUUUAGACUGGGGAUCAGAGAGGAGUGGGAAGUCAAGUCCCCAUCUUCCUUUCAUUUUAAGAAUUUCUUUCCCUGUGCACUAACCCACUUGUUCUGUUGGCAUUAAAGCUCCUUGCUCCAGCCUGGGGACACAGAAACCAUUCAGUAAAUACUGGCUCCUGUUAUCAUUGUUUUUCCCCACAUCCUGCCACCUGUCAUUCACACCCUCCUCCAGAGGAGCAAAGGGCAAGUGUCCCUGCAGGCAGAGGGAAGGCUAAGUGCCCUGAUUUGUUGGCCUAGGCUUUUGUCACAAACCCUGAAGACUGAUGGCCAGGAAAGAAAGGAGGCAUCCUUUCUCUGGCUCCCACAGUGGGCUGAGUGUGGCGCCAGGGCCUUUACAGACAUGCCUUCACUAACGUGGCACCAUCCCCAUUUUACAGAUGGGGAAACCAAGACCCAGGGAGACCAGGGCAAAGCAGAGAUAAAAACCUAGAAGAUCUUGGCUUUGAAAUGCACGUUCUUCGCGCCACACAGCAAGCUGCCAGAAGAAACACAGUGGCUGGUGGUAGGAAAAACAAAAUCAGAGCAACAAAAAAAAGAAAACCACUGAGGAGUUCCCAUCGUGGCUCAGUGGUUAACGAAACCGACUAGGAACCAUGAAGUUGCAGGUUCGAUCCCUGGCCUUGCUCAGUGGGUUAAGGAUCCGGUGUUGCCGUGAGCUGUGGUAUAGGUCGCAGACGCGGCUCGGAUCCCACGUUGCUGUGGCUCUGGCGUAGGCCAACAGCUACAGCUCUGAUUAGACCCCUAGCCUGGGAACCUCCACAUGCCACGGGAGC
rnacentral:lncRNA from 1 species